AGCGGCGGAUGGGUGAGUAACACGUGGGGAACCUGCCCCUAAGUCUGGGAUACCAUUUGGAAACAGGUGCUAAUACCGGAUAAUAAAGCAGAUCGCAUGAUCAGCUUUUGAAAGGCGGCGUAAGCUGUCGCUAAGGGAUGGCCCCGCGGUGCAUUAGCUAGUUGGUAAGGUAACGGCUUACCAAGGCGACGAUGCAUAGCCGAGUUGAGAGACUGAUCGGCCACAUUGGGACUGAGACACGGCCCAAACUCCUACGGGAGGCAGCAGUAGGGAAUCUUCCACAAUGGACGCAAGUCUAAUGGAGCAACGCCGCGUGAGUGAAGAAGGUUUUCGGAUCGUAAAGCUCUGUUGUUGGUGAAGAAGGAUAGAGGUAGUAACCGGCCUUUAUUUGACGGUAAUCAGCCAGAAAGUCACGGCUAACUACGUGCCAGCAGCCGCGGUAAUACGUAGGUGGCAAGCGUUGACCGGAUUUAUUGGGCGUAAAGCGAGCGCAGGCGGAAAAAUAAGUCUAAUGUGAAAGCCCUCGGCUUAACCGAGGAACUGCAUCGGAAACUGUUUUUCUUGAGUGCAGAAGAGGAGAGUGGAACUCCAUGUGUAGCGGUGGAAUGCGUAGAUAUAUGGAAGAACACCAGUGGCGAAGGCGGCUCUCUGGUCUGCAACUGACGCUGAGGCUCGAAAGCAUGGGUAGCGAACAGGAUUAGAUACCCUGGUAGUCCAUGCCGUAAACGAUGAGUGCUAAGUGU
rnacentral:rRNA from 1 species